AACGAACGCUGGCGGCAUGCCUAACACAUGCAAGUCGAACGAGACCUUCGGGUCUAGUGGCGCACGGGUGCGUAACGCGUGGGAACCUGCCCUUAGGUUCGGAAUAACUCCCCGAAAGGGGUGCUAAUACCGGAUAAUGUCUUCGGACCAAAGAUUUAUCGCCUUUGGAUGGGCCCGCGUUGGAUUAGCUAGUUGGUAGGGUAAAAGCCUACCAAGGCGGCGAUCCAUAGCUGGUCUGAGAGGAUGGUCAGCCACACUGGGACAGGGAGACGGCCCAGACUUCUACGGCAGGGAGCAGUGGGGAAGGAUGGACGAUGGGCGAAUGCUGAAGCCAUUAAGGCCGCGGAAGUGAUUAAUGAGGGAGGAUGGUAAAGGUCUGUUACUCUGGAUGAUAAGGAGGGUACCGGGAGGAAAAGCACGGGCAAGCACGUG
rnacentral:rRNA from 1 species